rnacentral:tRNA from 1 species
GGCGCUAUAGCCAAGUGGUUACGGCGACAGAUUAGAAUCUAUUUGCUUUAUCUGUUCCUCUUUGAGGGCGCAGGUUCAAGUCCUGCUGGCGUCG